rnacentral:lncRNA from 1 species
AUUGUUUGAUAUAUUGCUGUUUGAAAAGUUGCAAUAUCAAAUUUUCUCUAACAACUUCUACUUAUUAUAUCAAAAACAGAAGCUGCAAAUAGUGAUGUUGCUUACAGUUUUUAAAACCGUAAUCUUAUUUUUUUGGAAAAACUUUAAAAACCCCCCAUGUGGUUUUGUAGUUUCUAACUUUGCCCCCCUGUGGUUUAAAAUGUAUCAAUUUAGCCCCCUGUGGUUUCUUUUUUUUCUUUUCCUUAUCAAUUUCAUUAUUUUUUUUCUUAAAUCAGUGAUAAAGUUAAAGUUAAAGGGUACUAAAGUGAAUAUUUGAUAAAUCUAGAUAGAUAUUUGAAGUUUUUUGUAUAUAAUUUAAUGAAAUAUUAAUGAAAAAACUACUGAAAAGAUAAAAAUGAAACCACAGGGGGACAAUUUUAUAUAUUUUAAACCACAGGGGGUAAAGUGAGAAACUAUGAAACUAUGGGAGGGUUUUUUGAAGUUUUCCCUAUUUUUUUUGUUAUGAUAGAA